CCAGGUCCUCCACCGUCUUCUCCACUGUCUAGAGCAAGAAGAGAUGGGGGCAGGGGAGAGGGAAGAGGCUGGGCCGAGGGCUGUUCUCCACAUCACACAGCAAUAAUCCCUCACAUCUGGACAGAACUGCACCCUGGGCCGCACCGCACAACUGUCUGUGAGCUCAUCCAGCCUCCCAGCGGGCUCCGGGAGAGAGAGCUGGGGCAGAGCCAGAGCCGGGCCCGGGCCCGCACCACGGCCUGCACCACUGUGUCCCCACCCCGCCGGGGCCUCGGCGUCCAUCUCAAGGGAUCUCAAUGCACGACAGCAGGAAACACACCAGUGACCCCCCCACUCUCCACCAGGCUCAGCCACAGAUGGGUGUGAGCCCCUGGGAGCCUUCCUCUCCCUGAGCCCCUGCUGCCCACUGUGGACCCCAGGGUGGGGAGGGCGGAGGUGCUGCCGGCCCAGAUGUAGCUCCUCCGUGAUCCGGCUCUGUCUCUCAAGCCUCAGAACUUAGCUGCAAGGACAGAACCAGGAUGAGUCAAGGACAAGUUGCCAAGAACUAGGCAGGAACUUCCUUUUCUUCUUGCUUCCCCACUAGUGGGAAGGGGCUCCCGGUCAUGCCAGCUUCACGGGGCUUUGGGGAAGCUCAAAACAGGGAAGGAGGCAAGGAGGCUGAAGGAUUAUCACGCUCGGCCGUGGGCAGCCAAGGCUGUGGUUCCCAGUGUUCCCUUCCUGCCUUCGCUCCCGCCCUCCCGGCCCCGGCCAGUUGGGAAAUGGACCUUCUUGGAUGCCGGGUUGUUUUCCCUGGCCUGGCUCCUGCUCAGGGCCUAUGUGUGCCCUGGAUGGCGGCCACGGGUGGAACAUGGUGAGAGCGGGCUGCCGGUGGAGGCCAGAGGCCCAGGGAGGCACUGGGCUAACUUCUCCAGUUAAAGGGACAUCCCUCUGGGCCCCCAUUCUCUGAGCGGGCAGCACAGCCCUCUCCACUGACAGGCAGAGGAGACCUUUUGUCUCUGCAUCCAAACACUGAGAAGGCGCACACAACUCAAAUGACUCCUGACCCUGAAAGGUGCUGCUGUGCCUCUGAACAUCAAAGACAGCCUCUGCUUUGACUGGUCCCACUUGUCACUUGGGGGUUAAUUCUAUUUGACCACAUUCAAUAUAAUAGCAUAAUAAAUUUUACCACAUUCAAUAUUUGUAUUAAAAUUUGUGAUUCCUGCCAAA